rnacentral:rRNA from 1 species
AGUGAACGCUGGCGGUAGGCCUAACACAUGCAAGUCGAACGGCAGCACAGUAAGAGCUUGCUCUUACGGGUGGCGAGUGGCGGACGGGUGAGGAAUACAUCGGAAUCUACUUUUUCGUGGGGGAUAACGUAGGGAAACUUACGCUAAUACCGCAUACGACCUACGGGUGAAAGCAGGGGAUCUUCGGACCUUGCGCGAUUGAAUGAGCCGAUGUCGGAUUAGCUAGUUGGCGGGGUAAAGGCCCACCAAGGCGACGAUCCGUAGCUGGUCUGAGGGGAUGAUCAGCCACACUGGAACUGAGACACGGUCCAGACUCCUACGGGAGGCAGCAGUGGGGAAUAUUGGACAAUGGGCGCAAGCCUGAUCCAGCCAUACCGCGUGGGUGAAGAAGGCCUUCGGGUUGUAAGGCCCUUUUGUUGGGAAAGAAAAGCAGCAGGUUAAUACCCCGCUGUUCUGACGGUACCCAAAGAAUAAGCACCGGCUAACUUCGUG